CCUACAGAUCAAAGUGUCCUGAUGGAGAGAGCAGACUCCCCUGUACCCAGCUGUGUUUCCCUGAAGAGUGACAGGUCAAUGCCUCUACCACUCAACUUCAGAGAUGGACCUAUUCCUACAGAUCAAAGUGUCCUGAUGGAGAGAGCAGACUCCCCUGUACCCAGCAGUGUGAUGCCGUCCCCAUUGUAUGAAUUAUAUUUAUACC